rnacentral:lncRNA from 1 species
CUGGCGAGGGCGGCGAGGAAGCCGCGGGGCUCGAGGUUGGUGACGGUGGUGAUGACGACCUUGUCGGUGGAUUCGGAGUCGGUCGGAGGAGGAGUUGGGGUCGCACGUGCAGGGGCAUCCCGACGGUGAUGUCCCAAGCAUGGGCGAUGGCAGCAAUGAAGGUGAGGCCGGUGUUGGCGCGGACGAGGUCGUCGACAUCGGGGGCGGCGAGGAAGGGCUUGACGGCUGCGGCGGGGUGGAGGUCAUCUGAGUACUCGGUGCCGAUGGAGGAGACGAGUGGGGAUUCAGUGGAUGGGUGGGUGGAGGGGGAGUGGAGGCGUGUGGCCACCAGUGGUGGUGGCCCUUGGUCUUGGCCCAGACCAGCUCCUCGGUGGCUAGGGUUUGGGGCGGGG